rnacentral:rRNA from 1 species
ACCCAGAAGCCCGCCUCGAGCUCCCCUAGGGUUUAAUCCGCCCCCCUCCCAUUCCGCCGGCCACCGCCGAUUUAUAGGGUUACGACGGGAGAGCUCACCGGCUAUGGCGCCGCCACCGCCGCGCGAACUCCUGGCCGUCGUCGAGGCGGCGCUGCUCGGUCCCGCACCGGCGUCGCCGGCGCAGCGCGUGGAGCUCCUCCACGCCGUCCGCGAUGCCGCCCCCGCAUUCCGCGCGCUCCUCUCUUACCCGGUGCCAAAGGCGUCCGAUCGAACUCAGGUGGAGGCCAAGGAGGUUCGGCUCUCGGACAUGCCACCAAUCACGCUCGAUGACACCGACGUGCAGACUGCCCUUAAGCUGAGUGAUGAACUCAAUCUUAAUGAAAUUGAGUGUGUUCGCUUGCUAGUUUCUGCCAACAGAGAGUGGGUUCUAUAUGGUCGGGAGCCACUGGAAAUAUAUAGGCUUGCAGCUGGCCUUUGGUACAUGGAGAGGAGAGAUCUGAUAACUUCUCUGUACAUUUUGUUGCGGUCUGUUGUACUUGACCAAGGGCUUGAUGCUGAUCUGAUGUAUGAAAUCCAAAAUCAAAUGGAGGCUCUUUUUAACGAUGGUCUCCGACAGCGGAUAAUCACCCUUGUAAAGGAGCUUAACCGGGAAGAACCAUCUGGCAUUGGCCGACCAAGCUCUGAGCGCUAUGUGCUUGAUUUCAGAGGAGCUCUUGUCGAGAGGCGUGCCAUUGUCUCCCGAGAGAGAUUAAGUUUGAGUCACUGCCUUGCUCUUUCUGCACUUAUCAAACUAAUGGGUCCCAAGGAGGUGAAGGAUACAUUUUCAAUAUUAAAAGACUGCGCAGCUGAAGUAAAUGAAAAUUCUACUGUCGAGCUUCAGAUCACCUAUGGCAUCCUAUUCUCUCUUGUAAUAACUUUUGUUUCUGAUGCCCUAAGUAAUUCCCAUGAGAAAACAUCUUUGCCAUCGUCUGAUUCCUCGUUCAGACAUGAAUUUCAUGAACUAGUGAUGAAGACAUGUAACGAUACCACCGCUGAAGGAUUUGUUGGUGUUGUGCGGCUUGCAUGGACUGUUCUUUUGAUGUUAACACAAGAUCGAAAUAGCGCAAGAGACUCAGUCAUUAAUGCUUCCUCCAGAGCUGUGACUGAUAUUUGGUCAUGUCUGGAUAUUAUCUGUCGUCUGAAUGCUUUUAAAUUUUUACGGGAGCGAGUUAUGCAAGCAGCUGCUUACCAGAAUGACGAUGAUGACAUUGUUUACAUGUACACUGGCUAUGCGCACAAGUUGAUGAUGUGCUUUCUCUCCCAUCCGACUUCUAGAGAUAAGAUAAAAGAAAUCAAGGAAAAAGCAAUGAUUGCUCUCAGCCCAUACUCUCUUCCACGGGAUCAUAGAGAAGAUCCUAAUAUAAGUGGGGAACAGAUUGGUCAGCCUACUAACCAGCCUUUUGUAUCCCUACUGGAACUAGUUGGGGAAAUCUACCAGAAAGAGCCUGAGCUAGUGAAUGGAAACGAGGAACUCUGGACCUUUGUCGUAUAUGCAGGCGAAGAUCACACCAAUACACAAACCCUUGUGGCCUUCCUUGGACUUCUAAGUACUUUGGCUUCCAGUGACGUGGGUGCCGCCAAGGUAUACGAAUUGCUCCAGGGAAAAAUUUACCGCUCAGUUGGAUGGAACACUUUGUUUGAUUGCUUAUCUAUUUACGAAGAGAAGUUUAAGAAAUCCCUUCAAUCUUCCACAAGCAUGUUGCCUGAUUUUCCAGAGGGAGAUGCACAGGCACUUGUUGCGUAUUUAGCUGUCCUUCAGAAGGUGGUGGAAAAUGGAAAUCCAUCUGAAAGAAGGAAAUGGUUCCCUGACAUUGAACCUUUGUUUAAGCUUCUAAGCUAUGAAAAUGUGCCCCCGUAUUUGAAGGGGGCUUUGCGGAAUUCAAUCACUGCAUUUGUCAAAGUUUCACCCCAGUUGAAAGAUGCUGUUUGGAGUUAUCUUGAACAAUAUGAUCUUCCGGUGGUUACGGCACCACCUGGGCAGCAUGUGGCAACACAGGUCUAUGACAUGAGGUUUGAGUUGAAUGAAGUUGAAGCAAGGAGGGAGAGUUAUCCAUCAACCAUAUCAUUUCUCAACUUGGUCAAUGCUCUCAUUGCAGAAGAAAGAAACAUAAGUGACAAAGGCCGGAGGUUCAUGGGUAUCUUUAAAUUUGUAUAUGAGGAUGUCUUUGGGCCUUUUCCCCAAAGAGCCUAUGCUGACCCUCGGGAAAAGUGGGAAUUAGCACUGGCCUGCUUGGAGCACUUUCAUAUGGUUUUGCGCAUGUACGACAUAAAGGAUGAUGAUAUUUAUGCUGCUUUUAACACGUCUGGGCCUUCAACAUCAAAUGCCUCAGUCGAGAAACAGCUCCCGGUGCUAGAACUUGUGAAAGAUUUCAUGUGUGGGAAGGUUGCAUUCCGCAAUAUUAUGAACAUCAUACUAAUGGGUGUUGACACUCUUAUUAAUGAACGGACUACCCAAACUUACGGGAUUCUUCUGGAGAAAGCUGUCCAUCUUUCACUUGAAAUAUUUAUUCUCGUAAUGGAGAGAGAUCUGGUUCUUGCUGAUGUUUUCCGUCCACUCUACCAGCCCUUGGAGAUCAUAUUAUCUCAAAAUCAUAGACAAAUUAUAUCUUUGCUAGAGUUUGUUCGAUAUGAUUAUCUUCCUCAAAUUCAGCAGUGUUCAAUAAAAAUUAUGGGCAUCCUGAGUUCUAGAAUAGUUGGGCUUGUACAGUUGCUUCUGAAAGAAGAUGUUGCUAAAUCUGUAAUUGAGGAUUACGCUGCUUGCUUGGAGUUCCGUUUUGACGAUUUCCAGGUCAUAGAGAACACAAAAGAUGACGUCGGUGUUCUAAUACUGCAGCUACUUAUUGACAAUAUUUAUCGUCCAGCUCCCAACAUUACACAUUUACUCCUAAGAUUUGAUGUCAAUGGACCUAUAGAACGAACUGUUCUAAAACCAAAAUCCCACUACAGUUGUUUAAAGAUAAUCCUUGACAAUCUCGAAAAGGUGACAAAGCCAGAUAUAAAUGCUUUACUUCACGAGUUCAGUUUUCAGCUGAUGUACGAGUUAUGUCUUGAUCCUUUAACUUGUGGACCUGUCAUGGAUCUCCUGAGUACAACGAAGUACCAGUUCUUUUCAAAGCAUGUUGGGACCAUCGGUGUUUCACCACUUCCCAAAAGGAACAAUAAUCAAGCUCUUCGCAUCAGCAUGCUCCAUGAGAGGGCGUGGUUGCUAAAGAUACAAGCAUUGGCACUACAUGUAUCUGAUAUAUCAUCAUCUGUGUAUCGGGAAGCUUGUUUGGCUAUUCUCAAUGAUACUUUUGGUCACUGCGCUGAGAACAUGAAGAAUGCAAGCAUGUUCCAAUCUCCUGGCACUCCCAUUUGCACUAGCAGUGGGCUGAUGAAUAGAAAUAAGGUUUUGGAAUUGCUUGAAGUUGUACAGUUCAGAUGUCCAGACACUUCAAUGAAAUACCCUCAAUUGCUUUCAAAUCUGAGAGUUGAAUCAAAGAUUGAAGAGAUCCUACGGAAUUCUGCAACAUCUGAAUUUGGCGGUGUAUAUUAUUUUUCGGAGAGAGGUGAUCGACUGAUUGAUCUGGAUGCGUUCCAUCAAAAGCUUAUCCAGAUGUCACAAGAACUGCAAACACAAUUGAGCGAGUCUGAGAAAGGAGAGCUAAAAGAAUCGUUCCAUCAUUUGCUGAAAUGGGCCUGGAGAUAUAACAAAAAUCUUGAAGAACAGGCAGCCCAGCUUCACAUGUUAACUAGCUGGUCUCAAAUUGUUGAAGUAGCUGUAUCAAGGAGGAUGUCAUUGCUUGAGAAUCGUUCACAGUUAUUGUUUGAGUUGCUUGACGCUUCAUUGGGUGCCACAUCAUCUCCAGACUGUUCAGUGAAAAUGGCGUAUAUUUUAACCAAUGUAGCAUUGACCUGUAUGGCUAAACUGCGGGAUGAAAGAUUCAUAUGCCCAACUGGUGCAGAUUCUGAUGCAGUUUCGUGCCUUGACAUUAUUUCGGCAAAACAGUUGUCAAAUGCUGCCUGUAACUCAUUGUUGUUCAAGCUCAUUAUGGCAAUAAUGAGAAAUGAAUCGUCUGAAACCUUGAGAAGACGCCAAUAUGCAUUACUAUUGAGUUACUUCCAGUAUUGUGGUAGCAUUCUCGACUCUGAUGUUCCUCCGUCAGUUAUCCGUUUCUUGCUACUUGAAGAACAGGAGGGAGAUGAUGAUGAACUCACUCUUCAAAAUGUUCUGAAGGAGCAAAGUGAAUUAGCACGCGCCAACUUUGCUAUCAUAAGGAAGGAAGCUCAAGCGGUCAUCGAUUUGGUUACUAAGGAUGCUAUCCAUGGGAGCGAAACUGGGAAAGCAAUUUCGUUCUAUGUUCUUGAUUCAUUAGUUAGUAUUGACCAUGAAAAGUAUUUCUUAAACCAGCUUCAAAGUCGAGGAAUUCUCAGAUCAUGUCUAACUGAUGUUAGCAACUAUUUGUCAAAGGACAUGUCAUUCUCAUCAGAGUUUUCACAGCGGUUUUGCACUAUUGAUGCUCAGUUUUCAUUACUUCUGAGAAUCACUCACCAUUAUGGCAAACAUGGCUCUCAGAUUUUGUUAUCCAUGGGUGCUUUACAAAAUCUUUCAUCGUGCAACCUCUUGGGUUAUCAGAAAAAGGGAAGUUCAAGGCUAAACUCUAAUGUUGUGAAGGAACGAGCUGGGGAAACUGACAAGAAGUGGUCACUUACUGCACCAGUACUGCGGAUAAUCACAUCUUUCACAUCCCUCGUGGACUCAGCUGAUUUUCUUGAGGUGAAGAACAAAAUUGUACGUGAGAUAGUGGAUUUUGCCAAGCAGCAUCAGUCCAUUUUUAAUAGCAUUUUAAGAGAGAACAUAUCUGAAGCUAAUGCCUUCAGCUUGGAGCGGCUUAAUAUGGUGGUUUCUAUUCUCAGCAAGAUAUGGGCAUACGAGGAAAAUGAUGAAUGCAGCUACAUCCAAGAUCUAUUCUCCAUGAUGCAUUCUCUUUUUAGUCUUGAUUUUGGAUCUCUGAAUUUCAUUCAAUCACCAAAUAUGAUUGAGAAUCAGAAGUCAGAGUUGGUAUUAUUUGGUAUCUGCUUUGGCCUAAUCUCUUACCUAUAUUUUCUGGCUACAAAGAAGAACAUGCGGUUUCAAAUUUCAGACGGUGAUAACAACAAACUUGGUCAGCAGCAACCAACACUACAAAUGGUUUCAAAUCUUCUGAACUCUAUAACACUUGCUCUUGAGAGAGUAGGUGAAGAAAAAUAUUUGUUGUUGAAUAAGGUUCGUGAUUUGAAUGAGUUAUCUAGGAAGGAGGUCGAUGAGAUAAUAAAAGUAUGCAUGAAGCAAGAUUGCAUCUCGCCCAACGAUAACAUCCGUAAAAGGAGAUAUAUUGCAAUGAUAGAUUUGUGUUGCAUGGCUGGCAACCGAGACCAGCUUAUAACACUUCUACUCCAAGUCGCUGAAUGUGCCAUCACUAUUCUCCUUGUUCAUUUCCACGAUGAAGCUUGUGCAGAAGACUUGUCUUCAUUUUCCGAUGAACUACUCCCUUUAUUGGAGAGGUUAGAGCAUUUAAAAGAGGAAGUAUAGAAGAAGGUAGUAAGAUGCAACACGUCUUUCCACAAGGCCACGGUGCCAGUGACAAUCUUCGCACUUAUGCUUGCAGAUUGUGUCACUGAUGUAGAUGGUUCAGUGCUUCUUGAUCACCAUGGAAGCAAAUUUUCUGUUUAACUGAUGCAAAUCUUCACAAUUGCGGAAAUUAUAUAUUUCCUUUUUGUAUUGAAAAAAAUAUGUUUGUAUGAAAGCAAUUCUCUGAUAUAUGAAAAUAGUAUCAUAAUGAUUUAGAAGC